rnacentral:rRNA from 1 species
UACGGGGGGGAGCAAGCGUUGUUCGGAUUUACUGGGCGUAAAGGGCGCGUAGGCGGCGCAACAAGUCACUUGUGAAAUCUCCGGGCUUAACCCGGAGCGGCCAAGUGAUACUGUCGUGCUAGAGUGCGGAAGGGGCUACUGGAAUUCUCGGUGUAGCGGUGAAAUGCGUAGAUAUCGAGAGGAACACCUGCGGCGAAGGCGGGUAGCUGGGCCGACACUGACGCUGAGGCGCGAAAGCGUGGGGAGCAAACAGG